rnacentral:lncRNA from 1 species
GCACGCAUGGCCACCUCCACCCUGAGGCAGGUGAGUCUGGCCAGAGGUCACCAGUAUGAAGUCAGAUCCACCUCUCCUCCUAGUUUUACAGAAGCACUUUUCCAGUACAUCUGAGGGAACGCAUGCCUUCUCCGGCCGGCCUAAUGCUGUUUCCCAGGAGCAGCCUUCUGGAAGGUGGACCAUCAGGUAGAAGAAGUAUUCUUCAGAGAGUUGCAUUCCCAUGGGAAUGGUGACAGCUUGAGCUUGACGGGGAGUCCUGUUGUAUUCCGAGGUGUGAAGGGAAGGCAUGAACCGUGCAUAUGCUGUACCAUACAGUUUUGCCUACUGCUGUUUGUAGCUUCAUUGUAGCUGUGAAUGCUCCGUUCCUCUCCUUUUCACCCUUGAAGAUUCGCGAACAUACAGGAUCGGGCUGUGUGAGGCAGAGCAUCCCCCGCGUGGUAGGC